rnacentral:rRNA from 1 species
AGUGAACGCUGGCGGUAGGCCUAACACAUGCAAGUCGAACGGCAGCACAGUAAGGGCUUGCUCUUACGGGUGGCGAGUGGCGGACGGGUGAGGAAUACAUCGGAAUCUACUUUUUCGUGGGGGAUAACGUAGGGAAACUUACGCUAAUACCGCAUACGACCUACGGGUGAAAGCAGGGGAUCUUCGGACCUUGCGCGAUUGAAUGAGCCGAUGUCGGAUUAGCUAGUUGGCGGGGUAAAGGCCCACCAAGGCGACGAUCCGUAGCUGGUCUGAGAGGAUGAUCAGCCACACUGGAACUGAGACACGGUCCAGACUCCUACGGGAGGCAGCAGUGGGGAAUAUGGGGCAAUGGGCGCAAGCCUGAUCCAGCCAUACCGCGUGGGUGAAGAAGGCCUUCGGGUUGUAAAGCCCUUUUGUUGGGAAAGAAAAGCAGCAGGUUAAUACCCCGCUGUUCUGACGGUACCCAAAGAAUAAGCACCGGCUAACUUCGUG